rnacentral:rRNA from 1 species
GACGAACGCUGGCGGCGUGCUUAACACAUGCAAGUCGAACGGGCUCUGUCUGGCUGUGUGCUGGGUGGGGUUAGUGGCGAACGGGUGAGUAAUACGUGAGUAACCUGCCCUCUUCUUUGGGAUAAGCCUUGGAAACGGGGUCUAAUACUGGAUAUUCCUGUCUGGUCGCAUGGCUGGGUGGGGAAAGUUUUUUUCGGUGGGGGAUGGGCUCGCGGCCUAUCAGCUUGUUGGUGGGGUGAUGGCCUACCAAGGCGUCGACGGGUAGCCGGCCUGAGAGGGUGACCGGGCACACUGGGACUGAGAUACGGCCCAGACUCCUACGGGAGGCAGCAGUGGGGGAUAUUGCACAAUGGGCGCAAGCCUGAUGCAGCGACGCCGCGUGGGGGAUGACGGCUUUCGGGUUGUAAACCUCUUUCGUCGGGGGACAAGGCUCUGCUUGGUGGUGGGGUUGAGGGUACCCGGUGAAGAAGCGCCGGCUAACUACGUG